rnacentral:rRNA from 1 species
GACUUGCUCCUGAUGUUACGGCGGNGGGUGAGUACACGUGGGUACCUGCCUGUAAGACUGGGAUAACUCCGGGAAACCGGGGCUAAUACCGGAUGCUUGUUUGAACCGCAUGGUUCAAACAUAAAAGGUGGCUUCGGCUACCACUUACAGAUGGACCCGCGGCGCAUUAGCUAGUUGGUGAGGUAACGGCUCACCAAGGCAACGAUGCGUAGCCGACCUGAGAGGGUGAUCGGCCACACUGGGACUGAGACACGGCCCAGACUCCUACGGGAGGCAGCAGUAGGGAAUCUUCCGCAAUGGACGAAAGUCUGACGGAGCAACGCCGCGUGAGUGAUGAAGGUUUUCGGAUCGUAAAGCUCUGUUGUUAGGGAAGAACAAGUACCGUUCGAAUAGGGCGGUACCUUGACGGUACCUAACCAGAAAGCCACGGCUAACUACGUGCCAGCAGCCGCGGUAAUACGUAGGUGGCAAGCGUUGUCCAUUUUUU